AAGUCGUAACAAGGUUUCCGUAGGUGAACCUGCGGAAGGAUCAUUACCGAGUUCAUGCCCUUCGGGGUAGAUCUCCCACCCUUUGUAUACUAUACCUCUGUUGCUUUGGCGGGCCGCCUAGCUACUGGCUUCGGCUGGUAAGUGCCCGCCAGAGGACCCAAAACCCUGAAUAUUAGUGUCGUCUGAGUAAAAAGUUUAAUAUUUAAAACUUUCAACAACGGAUCUCUUGGCUCUG
rnacentral:misc_RNA from 1 species